rnacentral:misc_RNA from 1 species
UCCUGCCCAGUGACAUAAUUCAACGGCCGCGGUAUCCUAACCGUGCAAAGGUAGCAUAAUCACUUGCCUAUUAAUUGUAGGCUAGAAUGAAAGGAUAAACGAAAUAUAAGCUGUCUCUAUGAGUAUAAUAAAAAUUAAUCUCUAACUGAAGAGUGUUAGAUAGAGUCGAAGGACAAGAAGACCCUAUAGAGCUUUAUCUAAAUAAGAAAUAAUAUCUUUAUAAGAUUCGGUUGGGGCGACCAAGGAUACUUUUAAUCAUCCUUCACUAAUAGAUUUAUAAAUCCCAAUUUUGAUCCUAAUUAUAGAACAAAAAUCAAGCUACCUUAGGGAUAACAGGCUAAUCCUGCUAGAGAGUCCUUAUCUAAAGCAGGGAUUGGCACCUCGAUGUUGGCUUAGGGAAACUAUGUGAUGCAAAAGUUACAUAAAGAUGGUUUGUUCAACCAAUAAAUCCCUACAUGAGCUGAGUUCAGACCGGCGUAAGCCAGGUUAGUUUCUAUCCACGACAUUUAUAAAUCCUAACUAUAGUACGAAAGGACCUAGAUAAGGGUAAUUAUUACAACAAAAGAACUAAUAUAAUUUUUUUAUCAACCUAUAGUACUAAAUACUAUAAGUGUUUUGGCAGAUAAGUGCAACUGAUUUAGGAUCAGUUUAUGGAUAAAUCCACUCACUACCUGCAACUUAGUUUAUUUAGAAUAAUCAAUUUGCACUUGAUAGGAGAAAAUCUCAGUAGCGGCUUAAUGUUUUGGAAACAAUAGACCUUGAAAGUCUACAUAAGAUGUUCAAAUCAUCUUUAAGCCUAACAAGGU